UUCAUCCCAGUGUUUGCACUGGGAUGUGAAGCACUGUGUGAACCUGAGAGGUUUUUUUCCAGAAGCAAAAGGUGGAGUCAAGUCUGUGACCAGGAGUGUUAAAUGUGGCCGAGAGUGGACCUUGACUGUUGUGGUGUCUGAAAAUGUUAGAGUCCGAGCUGUGUCCAGGGCCAGUUCCUCAGCUGACACAAGGGCAAGGCAUGGGAUUGACCCUCCUGUGGGACCUCCUGAGAGCCUGAAUGGAAGGAAAGGAGAGCACCAGACAGGAGCAGAGGACUUCCAUGGAAGGCGGUGACUAAUGAUCUUGCAUCCACGGAAGAGGACCUGUGAGCAUGAGCCUUGUGUGCCAGCUUGGCCCCAUGCUCUGCAUCCAAGGUAAAUGGACCUGCAGAGUCAGUGGCUUACAGGAAAGUAUCAAAGCAUGAAAGGCCACACAGCUUCUCUCAGAGGAGACUGAGGACCCAGCAAAGCUGCUCCAGAAGUAUCUCUCCCUGAAGCUGGUAUCAUCAAUAUUUCUGCAGUGGGCUUAGCUAUAUGACCAGGAGUGAUUGGCAGUGGCUUGAGUUUUGCUUUUAAGUCAUACACCUUUGCCUCAUAUUAAAGCGUGAUUAGAAAGGA